rnacentral:lncRNA from 1 species
GUACCCGUCCAUGGUAUUUCUUGGUGUCUUCAUAAUGUACUGGCUAAUAUCACUCCUCAUAGUGAGUGAUCUAAGAGAAAGAACAGAGAGGAAACCAUGAUGCCUUUUUAGUCUUAGAAGUAAAUCCUUUUAUUUCUACCACUUUCUGUUUGUUAGAAGUGAGUCACCAAGUGUAGCCAACACUCAAGGGGAGAGGAAUUAGACUAGGAGGAACAUCAGAGAUUUGUGAAUGUACAUUAAAACUACCACAAGCAUUACUCAAGUUUUACUCAUUGUCCCAACCAUGCCCUUUAUAUCAAAAGAAAGUACAGGAUCAUCUGCCUUUUUUGUGCUCUUUAAUCUCAUUCAUUGUCUUUCACAACACUGGCAUUUCAGAGGAGCAUGGCCGGUUGUUCUAUAGAUUCUCUCAAUUUGAAUGUCUGAUAUUUCCACAUGAUUAGAUGCAGUUAUGCAUUUUGGUAGGAACAUUUCAAAGGUAAUAUUCUCAUUGCACUGUACAGGGAGGCCUAUAAUGUCAAAUUUUCUCACUAUCGGUGGUAUUAAGUUUAAUCAUUUGUUAAGUUGAGUAUUAAAUUAUUUUACUUCCUCUCAAAGCUUUGAUGGUUGUCACUGGACAUUGUGGUAACUACUACUUGUUAAAACUGAGAGAUACUGCUCUCUUAUCAUUCCUAUUGUAUGAUUCCCCAAAUUAUUUUAUGUGCCUUGUGGAAGGGGUUUAUACUCUGUUCCAAACUUUCUCUUAAUGGUAAGCUAGUAAGUUGGAUCCUCACCAAAUGAUACCAUAUUUACAGUGGCUGUUGAUAAUCAUAGCUAACAAUCAUUGAGUGCUUACUAUAUUUCAACAUUCUAGAUACAUUUGCAAGUAUUAACUAGUUUAAUCUUUUCAAUGUCUUAUGAAUUGGAGGCCAUUAUGAUUUAUGUUUUGCUGACUGGAGAGUGAAUAAUGGUAAAGGUGUGAGCCAGAUUCAGGCAGUCUGUCUCCAGAGAUUGUACCCCUAAUUGCUAUGCAUUACUAGCAUGAAGAGGAAUGCCUCCUGUAAAGUUAUGAGAUAUUUGUAAACCUCUAUGUGAAUGUAACAUUUCCAAGGCAAGAGGAGCAGGAGUUAGGAGGGAACAUAAAAAAAAUCUUCCUCUCCCCUCCCCCAACUGAAGAAACCAAAGCUUAAAGAAAGUAUUUACUACUCAGGGAUAAAGGGAUAAAGUUGAGACAAAAUUUAGAUCUCCAGAUACCCAAUCAGUCCCAUUCACUUUCCAUCAUAGCAUACUGUAAAUUUCUAAUAAAAUGAAAGUAGAUGCCCUGCACUCAAUUAUUUCACCAGGGACAAAUGAUAUAAUUCAAAGUUGAAUUCUCAAAUUAGUGUGCAGCAUAUGCCAUACAUUAAUUAAACAUGAACUGCUUUUACUUUUUAAUUUUUUUAAUUUUUAUUUUUUUGACUUUUUGCAUUUUCUAGGGCCACACCUGUGGCAUAUGGAGGUUCCCAGGCUAGGGUUCUAAUUGGAGCUGUAGCCACCAGCCUAUGCCAGAGCCACAGAAGUGCAGGAUCCAAGCUGUGUCUGUGACCUACGCCACAGCUCACAGCAACGCCGGAUCCUUAACCCACUGAGCAAGGCCAGGGAUUGAACCCGCAACCUCAUGGUUCCUUGUCGGAUUCGUUAACCAUUGAGCCAUGAUGGGAGCUCCUUACUUGCGUUUUUAGAACAUAAAAGGGCUUUGUGGGAAUGAUUUGGAUAACCCAUGCAUUUUUGCUCAGAUAAUCUGGUUAGUUCAAAUUUUUUCUUUUGUCCUAAGCAAAUAUAUUUGACAUAAUUUCUUUGCUCAUUUAAGAGUAAUCUUUGCAAAUGUCAUUUUGGCUUUUUGGCUUUUUUUUUUUUUUUUUUUUUUUUUUUUUUUUUUNNNNNNNNNNNNNNNNNNNNNNNNNNNNNNNNNNNNNNNNNNNNNNNNNNNNNNNNNNNNNNNNNNNNNNNNNNNNNNNNNNNNNNNNNNNNNNNNNNNNNNNNNNNNNNNNNNNNNNNNNNNNNNNNNNNNNNNNNNNNNNNNNNNNNNNNNNGGCAAUGCCGGAUCAUUCACCCACUGAGCAAGGGCAGGGACCAAACCCGCAACCUCAUGGUUCCUAGUCAGAUUUGUUAACCACUGCGCCACGACGGGAACUCCCUGCAAAUGUCAUUUUGAACAUACUCCUGAAAAGUUAUCAAGUAGAUAAAAUAUGCAACUAUAAAGAGGACCCAUUGCGUACAUACCCAUUUAGUAAAACAAUCAAGUUAUUCAUAUUAUUUAGUAUUGGCAUGUGAAAUUGAUCAACUUAUAUAGUGUAGUUGGCAGUAUUUAGUGAUGUAACCCUUCAGAUGUCUAUGGAUCAAUUACUAUUAUUUUUGCUAUAAUGUUAUUUUAUAAUACAUUGAUUGUUUUAAAGUGGUACUCAAGGCACCUCCAUACUUAGUGUCUUGCUUUAUGAUACUUAGCCAAGAAUGAUGAUGUUCAAAAUGGGUAUGUCUUGUACUUCUGAAUGGGAGCCAACCGUUCAGAACACAAAUCAGCCCAAAACAAUGCCAGACAGUGUAUAUUGGAUACAUUUGAGCUGUAAUAUACAUAGAGACAGUAUGGAGAUAAUGAUUCUCUUGUGUUUUAUCCUCUUGUUUGUAUUGGGUUGAUAUUCUUCUAUUGAUUUUUCUUUUCAUUAUUACAUCCCCUCCUACUAGCAUAAACUUACUUGAAAGGGAAAUGCAUCAUGCAGGCAGAGUUUAAAAGCAGAAAGUUGAUGGUUAUUUAUGGGCUGAUUAAAUUUUUGUAUCCUAUUAUGGGGAUGCAGGAUAUUUAGUCAGUUUUCCUGUCCUUCUAGGCAUACUAGAGGAAUACACUUUUCUAUCCCUUUACCAUCGGGUUGGGCCAUGUGGCUGUUUUGAUCAAUGGGAUCUGAAAAGAAGUGGUUGAAUGAAUCAUACUGAGCCUAAGAAUUUAAUUGCAAGAAUUUCUUCCCUUGACAAGAUGAUCAAGGAGGUCUCUUUCUCCCAGAUUAUGGAGCCUCCAUUAAUUUGGAAACUUGAGUGGUACAUGAAGCUGUCCUAUGUAGGAUUUUCAUGUAGCAUCAGUGAGAAAUAAACUGCUAUUUCAGUAUGCCAUUGAGUUUUGAGGUUUGUUUGUAAUAGUACCCCGACUAAUAUAUGUCCAACAGAAUAUUUAAUAAAUAUUUUUGAAUGAAAGAAUUAGACUUUCUUAAAAUUAAAUAAUUUCAAGGUUGAUCAUAAAUCAUAAAUAAUGCAAUAUUCUGUCCAGAUUUUAUCUUGAGUUUUACUGUAUCUUAUUAUCAAUUCAACUGACAUAUUUUCCCCUGGAUUUAAUAUAUAUCCUAACCCUGAUUUGAUGUUCUCACUUGAAGCCUUUACCUCUAAUUCUAACAUGCCAUGGCUGUUGUCUCACAAGGAUUGUGUAAGGAAAGGUUAAAUAUUCCUUCCAUAUUUAUUUCUCCUUUCUUACUUUCCUCAGAAAUAGAUACCUUUAAUAAUUUGUCUAAGGAACUACUCCUUUCCAUUUUUUCUGGAGUUGUGGGAACAUGCCUUACUAGAUAAAAGGAGAUGACAAACCUACUGCCUGAAGAACCAGACAUAUUUUGCAUUCUAUAAGUCUGUUAAGUCUGUCAAAAGUGACAAGGCUUUGUUUUGGAAGAAUUCGCCCUUCAUCAUUUGAGAAUAAUGUCUGUUGUCAAGCAGAUAGCAUCACCCUAUAGAGAUUGGGAAUUCAGGGAUCUGUUUCUAUCCCUUUAGCAGCUCAUUCCUUUAUGAGUCCCAGAAGCACUGUGAGCCUUUAGCUGGACUUGUGGAAGUUGUCAGAAAGAAACAAACAAACAAAAUUAAGUAAUGUGGGUUUCUGCAGUGUCAAGCUUCAUUUUUGUAAGAUUUUUGAACUUUUAGAAAAUGCCCGCUCAAUAAUUGGUAUUUCAUAAAUGAAAGAAAAGUCAUAAAUAUUUAUGAAAGACAUUAACUCAACAUAAUGCAGUAUAUGAGUAUUUAACAUCUGUGUCCUAAAUAAUAUGAUGCCACUCUGAGAGGAGGGCAGUGGGAGGAAAAUGCAAAGAGAAAGCCUGUCACCAUGCUUAUACAUUAGUAGAGAAAAAAGGACAUAUGCUGAAAUCAUUGUCAUGUAAGAGGGAUGAUAUCUUUGAAAUGAAGUUUUAUGAUAAUAAAGUAUCAAGAGAAUUUACCUCACAUUUUUAAAAGUUGGGGGCUAGGUAACUAUGCAUAAAUCACGUAGCCUUGGAAGAUUGAAGUUCAAUAUAAAUAAAUAAAGAGUUUAAAGACUAUAGACCAGACAACAUUGGAUGUGGUCCGAGGUUGGUGAAUUGUUAGAGACUGGAAAGGCUGGAGGACUGAAUGGAUGAGUUUGUGUGGGAAUGCAUACAUCCAGAGAGAUAGUUUGGGUGCUUAUCUGAAGCAGGUAAUACAUGAAUUUGCUUUGAAAGAAGGGCCCAUUAUAAAUUUUAGGAUAGAAAAAUGAAAUGGUAUAAAAGGCCUUUUAGUUUUUUGAAAAAUUAUGUUUUACUGAAAUGUAGUACUUCAUAUGUUCUCACCAGCUCAGAUCUCCCAGAAGUACAAUUUUCCAUCAAAGAAAUGUUGAGUAGAGCCUGGUAAGUUGGUUCAGGUCUUCAGAGAGCUCUGGUGAAUGUAGUGGGUAGCUUCCUAUGAAGUGAAGUUUGGCACUUGCCAUAAGCUUCUACAUGGAUUGAAUCAUGGGCCACUGCAGCUACCAGCCCAUGGCACACCCUGAGCGGAGCUCAGGGUGAAAAUCAGGAGUGAAGCACUCUGUGUCUGGGAAGACUGGAAGAACAGGUCUUCAGAUAAUCAGAUAUUUUUAGAUUUUAUGUGUGCAAUUCUUGCACCUCCUCAUAUCUAGAAAAACAUUCAAAUCCUUCAUGGUGAUGUCUGCUUCUUGUGACCUUCAGGAAAUCAGCAACAAACUUGUAAAAUGUGUGCCUGGCUGCAUGCACCUCCCCUUCACCUUUCUCAUAUCCUGAUUUUCCCCUUUCCUCUUUGGGUGGCAUUUCAGAGCUAUCUGAAGUACCUGGUCUGUAAUUAAGGGUAAAGCAAAGAAUGUCUUGGUCAUCUGGGAAGGCAGUCACCUCCAAAGGUGAGAGCAGGCGAGUCCUGCAGACUGACUCCUUGACUCAGGAUACUGGUCUUGACAGCAGAGGUGCAUAUCAAAGGUAUGAUUUCAGUGAACCCUGGCCUCUUUUGUUCCAGCUACCUGCCCUUUGUUGCAAAAACUCCUAUGUAUCCUAGUGCCUCCCUCUCCACCUCGGAACAGUUUCUCAGGGCUAUCUGAGUUGCUGUCUCCCAGGAUUAAGUCCUAAUUUUGCCACAAAUAUAACUUAACUCUCGGAGGAGUUCCCAUAGUGGCUCAGCUGAAACGAAUCCAACUAGGAACUGUGAGGUUGAGGGUCUGAUCCCUGGUCUCGCUCAGUGGGUUAAGGAUCUGGCAUUUCUGUGAGCUGUGAUAUAAGUCAUAGACACAGCUUAGAUCCUGUGUUGCUGUGGCUGUGGUGUAGGCCAGCAGCUGUAGCUCUGAUUCCCUGGGGACUUCCAUAUGC